AUGGCUGUCGUCAGCUCGUGUCGUGAGAUGUUGGGUUAAGUCCCGUAACGAGCGCAACCCCUAUCCUUAUUUGCCAGCACGUCAUGGUGGGAACUAUAAGGAGACUGCCGGUGAUAAACCGGAGGAAGGCGGGGACGACGUCAAGUCAUCAUGGCCCUUACGACCAGGGCUACACACGUGCUACAAUGGGAAGGACAAAGAGCCGCGAAGCCGCGAGGUGUAGCUAAUCUCAGAAACCUUUUCGUAGUCCGGAUUGGAGUCUGCAACUCGACUCCAUGAAGUCGGAAUCGCUAGUAAUCGUAGAUCAGAAUGCUACGGUGAAUACGUUCCCGGGUCUUGUACACACCGCCCGUCAUACCAUGGGAGUGGGUUGCACCAGAAGUGGCUAGUCUAACUUAGUGAGGACGGUCACCACGGUGUGAUUCAUGACUGGGGUAAAGUCGUAACAAGGUAGCCCUACCGGAAGGUGGGGCUGGAUCACCUCCUUAAGAAAAGUACGAGUGUUCACACAAGUUGUUUGAUAAUAUUAAAGUAAGAGAAAAAAGACCAAUAACCCAAAUUCAAUGUAAUUGAUAUUAAGGGUCUGUAGCUCAGUUGGUUAGAGCGCACCCCUGAUAAGGGUGAGGUCGGUGGUUCAAAUCCACCCAGACCCACCAUUUUUCUGGGUUAUUAGUUUUCUAUUGGGGCUAUAGCUCAGCUGGGAGAGCGCCUGGUUUGCAUCCAGGAGGUCAGCAGUUCGAUCCUGCUUAGCUCCACCAUUUUCUCUAGUGAAAACUUAAAUAAGACUUACAAGUAAGUCUUAUUUAAGUUUUUAUACCAAGCCUUGGUAAUAACCUUGGUUCGGAGCUCUUUAACAAUUUGGAUAUGAAGUAAAGUUUGUUAAAUACAAUACAACGUAAGGUGUAUUGCAUUGACACAACAAUUUCAAAAAAUAUGGAUUCUCAUUGAUAGAUUUAUUUCUAUCAGUGAUAAAAAAGAAUUCACCGAUUGUAUCGCAAGAUACAGUUAGUGACUUCUCGGUGUAAUAAGAACCAUUAACCCAGAUACUUUGGGGUUAUAUGGUCAAGUGAAUAAGUGCAUACGACGGAUGCCUUGGCAGUAGAAGGCGAUGAAGGACGUGAUAAUCUGCGAUAAGCUUCGGUUAGCUGAUAAUAAGCUUUAACCCGGAGAUCUCCGAAUGGGGAAACCCGG
rnacentral:sRNA from 1 species